AUUGAACGCUGGCGGCAGGCCUAACACAUGCAAGUCGAGCGGAUGAAGGGAGCUUGCUCCUGGAUUCAGCGGCGGACGGGUGAGUAAUGCCUAGGAAUCUGCCUGGUAGUGGGGGAUAACGUCCGGAAACGGGCGCUAAUACCGCAUACGUCCUGAGGGAGAAAGUGGGGGAUCUUCGGACCUCACGCUAUCUGAUGAGCCUGGGGCGGAUUAGCUAGUUGGUGGGGUAAGGGCUUACCAAGGGGAAGAUCCGUAACUGGUCUGAGAGGAGGAUCAGUCACUGGGAACGUGAGACCGGCCCCGGACCCCAAGGGGGGGCCAGGUGGGGAAUAUUGGACAAUGGGCGAAAGCCUGAUCCAGCCAUGCCGCGUGUGUGAAGAAGGUCUUCGGAUUGUAAAGCACUUUAAGUUGGGAGGAAGGGCAGUAAGUUAAUACCUUGCUGUUUUGACGGUACCAACAGAAUAAGCACCGGCUAACUUCGUG
rnacentral:rRNA from 1 species